UACCAGCACCCCGAGUGGUCGGGACGAUUAUUGGGCCUAAAGCAUCCGUAGCCGGUUCUACAAGUCUUCCGUUAAAUCCACCUGCUUAACAGUUGGGCUGCGGAGGAUACUAUAGAGCUAGGAGGCGGGAGAGGCAAGCGGUACUUAGUGGGUAGGGGUAAAAUCCGUUGAUCCAUUGAAGACCACCAGUGGCGAAGGCGGCUUGCCAGAACGCACUCGACGGUGAGGGAUGAAAGCUGGGGGAGCAAACCGG
rnacentral:rRNA from 1 species